rnacentral:rRNA from 1 species
UACAGAGGUCUCAAGCGUUGUUCGGAUUCAUUGGGCGUAAAGGGUGCGUAGGCGGCGCGGUAAGUCACUUGUGAAAUCUCCAAGCUUAACUCGGAACGGUCAAGUGAUACUGCUGUGCUAGAGUGCAGAAGGGGCAAUCGGAAUUCUUGGUGUAGCGGUGAAAUGCGUAGAUAUCAAGAGGAACACCUGAGGUGAAGACGGGUUGCUGGGCUGACACUGACGCUGAGGCGCGAAAGCUAGGGUAGCAAACGGG